AUGCAUAUGUUGCCCAGCCCCUGCCAGAGAGAUGCCACAACUGCGCCCUCAGCACUUGGCAGCCAGAUCGCUGGGGUGGAGCACCCGGCACUUCGCCUCCCCCUGCUCCUGAUCUCUCGCCACUCUCUCCAGGGGCACUGUCUCCGGGGAUGGGAAGCCAGCAGGAUGGAGCCUGGGAGCGUGGCUGUGGUCUGCAACCAGUGUGGUCCAUCAGUGGCAGCACCAGUUCCCUCCCCUCAACGUGAUGCUCACGAACUUCACACAAAAGAUGGCACUGCUCCAGGUCCUGCCUCACUGACCCCCACGCUGGGAUCCUGGGCUGGUGGCAGUGCUGGCCAAGUCGGCACCUGACUCCUGCAAGGUGCUGUGUGGGGUUGAGUCUUUCUGCCUCUGUCCCCUGAGCUCUCCAGGCUCCUAGAGCUGGCUGCCACUGUAGCCACCAAGAUGCCCCCCAGGAGCCACAGAAGGAUCUGGGGAAGCUGACCAGACAUACUCUCUUAAAAGCAGGGGGACAGACAUCAGCCUGAUGCCCUCCCUCCGAAGAUGAUGGGCUUUUUGGCCCCACAGAAACAGCCGCCCCAUAGCUCCAGCCUCGCAGCAGAGGAGGCAUCUGUGUGAGUACCUUUAAUGAAUCCCAGAUUUUGGAAAAGAGGAAAAAUGACCCCACAUUUAUGGGAGGCCUAGGAAUACGCAGACAGACUCACUUAGUCUUUACUCAAAUCUUGCAACAAACCCAAGGUUUUGUUUACUUUUAACAACCAAGGACGCAGGACUUCACCUCAUCGCUGGGCUGUGGUUCCAUUUCUCUCCGACUCAGAAGCCCCCCUCCACUGGGCCCUGCCCUGAGACGUGGACGGGUCUCUCCAGGCCGAUUCUGAUCACCUUAUGACCUGUCCCUCGCUAUGGCUCUAAAGGUGCCCCGCGGCCUUUCUAUUUUCUCUAUCCCGAGACUGAGAGGCCAUGGAAAAUGCCUUCAUUGCUCUGAGAGUGGAUGCAGGGUGCUCCAGUACUGGUGGAAAACUUAAACCCCUCUUGCUUUCCAUGGGAGAUAAGACCCAGAUAGGGUGGUCUCCCAGCUCUGCAAGCCAGAGCUUCACUUCCUACUCCUCACACUGUACAUAGUGACCUGGGACGGAACUAGGCCUGGAAGAACCAAAUCUCAGGACUCGGGAUUCUUUUCAGACACCACAGACCAUGCUCCUAACUGCAACUGCUGCCUCUGUCGUGCACCUCGCGCUCCGCUCACCGAGUACCCCAG
rnacentral:lncRNA from 1 species